rnacentral:rRNA from 1 species
UACGUAGGGACCCGAGCGUUGUCCGGAAUCAUUGGGCGUAAAAGAGCGUGUAGGCGGCUUGUUAAGUCUUGCGUGAAAUCUCGGGGGCUCAACCCCCGAGCGGUCGUGAGAAACUGGCAGGCUAGAGUGCGGGAGAGGAGAGUGGAAUUCCUGGUGUAGCGGUGAAAUGCGCAGAUAUCAGGAAGAACACCCGUGGCGAAGGCGGCUCUCUGGAACGCAACUGACGCUGAGAGCGAAAACGUGGGGGAGCAAAACAGGG